UGGAAGGAUGAGUCUGGCUCCUGUCUGAAUCAAAUCACUGUGCACUCAACAAGUUGGCUGCUGCUCACACACAGACAAAGCUCCUGCAGUCCACACUCUGCAAAAUGUGUGCAAGAGCAGGAGCCCAAGUGCUGUGAACAUUGCACAGGCAGCAGCAGUGCCCCCUGAGGCGUGUGCCCCAUACAGACAUGUAUCCAGCGGGGUGAAUGGAAACAUGCACGGAGAGUGCUGGACUCCUCCUUAGAAAAUGCAUUGUCACCAUGGGAAGAUUGCUACAAAAGGUUACGGCAGUUCACAAAUGCUGCUCAUGCAUGGGGUGCUGAAUGCUGGCAGGGCAGAGUGUAAUUCCUGACAUUGCUGGAAGGUUGGAAGAGAAGAAAAGUCCAAGGGAAGCCUGGCAGUGGAGUCAGUGCUGGUUGCUCAACCCAGCCCAUUGACAUCAUGUAACAUAAUGGUAAAUAACGUGGGAGUCCACAGUUCAGUGAAAGGUUCCUGAGAUAAUGAAAGCUCCAAGAACUACUGUUAGGCAUGGAAUGUGCUCACAGUGUUAUGUUUGCUUAUAUUUGCUAUUUAAAGUGCAUACAGAGAGACACAGCUGGGCACUCUAACUCUCUUGGAUGGAGGACCAGAGAGGUUUCUGUUCUGCAGAGCAAACCCUAUGACUUCCUUGGAGAAGUCCUAGAUCUUUUCCUGCCCACCUCUGAGCUGCAGGCUCCUGGAUUUCCUUUUGGGGCAUGCCCUUCCACCAACACAGGAGCCAGCAUGGAGACUCCAUCAAGCCAGGGGUGUUGUCUGCAUGGGAGCAGCUGCUGCAGGUUCAAUGCCAGUAGAAACCCAGAUGAACUCAGAUGAGCUUUGACACAGAAAUGAGGUAUCAGAGGAGGACUAUAAGCCAUCAAAGGUCAAUCUCUGUUUGCUGUGUCCAGUGUUGUCUGUUCCUAUGCCUUGCUGGCAAAGAAAAAAAUCCAGCCUGAUCCCGCAGAACACUCCCAGUGACCCCCAAUACUGCCUUGAGCUUCCUGAGCACCUCCUAGGGCAUCUAGCACUGCUGAGAUCACCCCAGUACUGACUAGAGACUCCCAAUGCUCCUUAGAGCUUCCCAGUGCCCUCAGUACUGACUAGAGUCCCACGGAACCCUCCCAGGAUAGCUGUGCAUGCAGUGACAGAGCACCUGGCUGAAUUGAGAAAGGAAUAAACCCUUCUGACGCCCACCUGAAGUCGAGGAAUUAGUCAGUAAGCUCCCACCUGCUGUGAAGAGCAGAUUAGGAGCGUCUGCUGAGAACCCUGAUUAAACUUUUUCACUGUUCAAAUGUGGCUGUCAGUUUUACACAGGUUUGUCAUGGCAGACUCAAUCGACUCUGGUAUGUGGCAACUGUGCUUGUAGCAAAGGUGCAAAAGGACACCAUCAUGUUCCCGUUCCACAAGAUGGACAUAUCUAUGAGACUAAGUUUGCUUUAGAGAUUAAAUGCAGUGCCUGAAGUAGAAAAAGGUGACCUUGGAGGUCUUGUGUUUUUUGCCCGAUGUCUGAGCAGGCUGUGAUUCGAGUUUGGACGGCUUUAUAAUAGAGAAAACCAUCGCUAUGUUUGAGUUUAAAUUACUCAUUAUUCAUUGUGAUGGAAAGAAAGCAGCAAAACUCUCUCGUCUCUCUUGAGCCAAGACAGGAGCUGUGAUCCUGCUCUUCUCUGCAGCAGGAGAGUCUUUCUACUUCAGCGGUGUAAGAAGAUGACGAUGAGAGCCCUGUAGAAGCCAGGCAAAGAAGCCUCGAAUGCUGCCCAGACCUCUGUUAACCUUUCGUCCUGCCAUCCACCACCCUGCCAAUAAGAGAAUCCCUUUCAAACAUGAAGCACAGAAAGUCCAAACCAGCACGUUUCCCUCUUUUCUUUGGGGAACAGACUGCAGUGAUGAACGGACAAAUGGAGCUGGUCCCCAGUGCUAAACUGCAAAAACCACAGGCUUCAGCAAAGCCCUUCAAGCCCUCCUGUCCCCCAGCAGAGUUACUGCUCCUCUCUUCCGACUAAGGUCUGGAAAUAUCAAGAGAGGUGCUGGUCUGAACCUGACUGCAGAGCACCGAGGGCUGUGAGACUGAGAAGCUUAAAAGGGAGCAGAGUAUUGCGUCCGCCCAGCACAGCCUGGGAGAAGAAAGGAAUAAAUGGAGAAGCAUUUCAGCACUUACCUCUCAUUUCUACCAUCGCUAUACAUAACAAGUGCCUCUGCAUAUUUUAUAGCACUUAAAAAGAAACAAGUGUAGCUAGUGUAGAAGCUGGCUUGUUCAGGGAAACUCGAAACAUGUGCAGCCAUAAAAAUCCUUCAUUUGAUGCCAAGCUAUCGCAUUUUCUAGUGUCUGAAAGGCAAAUGAUGCUACAGGAGUUCCCCAUGCUUUCUCUCAGCCUGCUCACAAUCACUGUUACAGAUCCAGAGCAUUCAGCUCAGCUCCCCUCAGCUCCUAGUGGCUGAGCAGAACAAAAACAUCGACGCAGCAUCUCAACGAGUUUUGCUGUAUUGCUGGCACACAACACAGAUGUUUAGGUAGCAAACGCAGCCUCCAUCCAAGGGUGUGCCUUUUGAAGAGGAGAGAGCAGAAACGCUUUCACCCAGUUAAAAGAAAAAACAGCAAGUAGUCAGAUUAUAGAGGAAGGGAUAAGCAAGGAGAUGCCAAAAUCCUGGAGAAGUGAUGGUCCUGGAGCAAUCUGCUUCCCUCUGUAAACAAGGGAAUGUGGUUUGUGGGGUUUGGCUUGUGAAAGUAUGGCCCUGUGUCCCUGAGAGCUACAGAGGGGUUGGGGAUUAACAGGGUCUCUCUGCCUGGCAAUUAUUACAAAAGAUAUGGGAAUAUUUUGUCUUCAAAAAAGCCACUUCUCUGUCCAAACGUGGUCGACAGGUUCAGCAAAUGUCAGCAGGAUCUAUCAGAUGUUCAUGUGCACACACAAAUACUUGGUGUGGUCAUGUAGACCUUCUUCUCAUAGGAAACCAUGCAUCCCUACGUGUUUAACUGAACAUUUUGUUUUUAACAUCUCUUUCCAUUUCCCCUUCCCCCCUCCACUUGGUUAUUGAUGUAUUGGAUUGUCAGAGAGACAUGGGAGGAAGACUGGCAUUAGGAGUAAUGGUGAGGGAUGUCGGUUCUCUCCAGAGCUCUUGCCUCAUUCCACUUUGUGUGGUGGCUGGGAGAAGCACCUCGGUCAAGCCUGUCAUCCUUAUCAAAAAGAUCCUGGCUGCAAAAGGAAAGCCAUCUGUUGAGCCAGGAAAGGGGUGAACAUGCUGGGUGUGCAGGUGGCAGCAGCAAUCUGGUUGCAGCAGCUGGGGCCAUCCCUGACCAUAACCUACAUAAGGAGAAGGCUGAAAUCUGUUACGUGAGCAAGCAGGCAGGAGCACUGGAUUCUGGUGGGAGAGGGAGUGAGAUUCAGCCACCUGAAAGCAUCUCCCUGCAGGAGAAUUACCUUCCCUGUAAAGCAGCAGGCAUCUCUCUUAAGUGUUUUCAAGCUUAAAUUGUUUCCCUAGGUGACAUCCUGGUAAGUGGAUUUCCCAAUUAAGCACAAUCCAAUUAAGUGGGAGGUACUGUAAUUACCAAGUGCUCAGCGCGAGGCAAAGAUCAGAUCCAUCUAUGGCAGAAGGGCUCUUCUCCACUCAGGAAGGGGCUGUAGCGAGGUGCUUCUGUAAGCAUGAAGGUGGGCAGCUCGGACAUGAGGCUUUGCAGCCCCCUCUCUGCCAGUCAGCAUCUUCUGUGUCCCCACGGGGACCAAUUCCCGGUGCCAAUGCCCUGAGUUGCCGAAGCUGUGCAAGCAGACUCGUGCAGCCUGCGCAGCUCCUCCAGCUCCGUACCGCUGGUUUUACAGUGCCACCCACUGGCAGGGGCUCCCACAAACCCUCUUCUGCAGCUCUGCUCCUCCGCAUCUGAUGUUCCAAUGAUGAAAUAUUAGAGGGGUAGCUCUGGUGGGCAUCAUUCAUAGAACGGAUCCCACGUGUGCUGUCCCGGGCCAUCUGGAAGCGUUUUGGAAUCCGUUCUGGUGUGUCUCAGUGUCUGCUGAGCCCACACAGCAAAGUCGUUGGGUCUGCAGCGUGCCAGAUGUUGGCUCAGGCUGUGUUUAAGGACAAUCAAAUGGUGCAGUGCUGCGUCCUGCCUGCGGAGUGGUAGGGCGGGUGAUGAGCCUCCUUCUCGUCCUUGCUGUGCUGAGCACACCAAAUGCAGGGCUCGAUCUGCAUAGGAGGCUGUGUUAAUAUUCUUCCAAGCAGGAGAAAAUACAAACCGUGGCUGAUUCUGAAUGCCCCACUGCACAUUAUUAAGCGUGCAGCCCCAUGGAGAGCAUGCUCCCAGCAGGGGAGGGCUGAGGACUUGUGCAGGACAGAUGGAUGUUCUCCUGCCAGUGCACAGCACAGCAGUCAGCCUGGUCUCUCUGAAUGUGCUCUGUCCUUUCCUGAGUGCUGCACUCGCCUCUGCUGCUGGUUGAAUGUGUGAUGUAAGUCCAGCUGACAAGCAGAAGGAAAGAUGCAGCUGUCAGGGUUUCUGCACGGCAAGCUGCUCCUCACAAGCUACAUUUUAAACUGAGUGCUGAUUUAAAAUCAAAUUUGACAAAUAGCAUGUUGGGGUUGUCAGGUCCUGGAGCACUGUCUUCAAGAAAGUAUGAAAAAGGCACCAGAGGAGAGCUUGGCAUAGCCUUCCAGAUAACAGUAAUUAAAGGCUUUUACACUCAGGCUCUGGAAGCUGCUCCUCUUGCAAAUUGGCCUUGAUUGAAGGGAAAGAGAAUGAUGAGACUGGAGGAAAGUGAUGUGGCCGGCAGGAGAAAACACAGAGGUAAGUCUCAGUCUUUUCUUUUUUUACCCCACCUCCUUGUCCCAGCCAGGGUGGAGGCAGCACUGCUCCUGGGCUGGCUCUGCAGUGCACUGGUGGACAUGGAAGAAAAAGAGGGGCACCACAGCUCUGCUCCUGCCCCAGAGCAUCACCCAGCACUGAGGGAAACAUUCCCAUCCCCCAAAGCAUUCUAGGUUCAGUGACACCAGGGUCACCCAUCCCAGUGUAGCAACCCCAAAACUGAGUUAUCCCCACACAGGGGUUGUGCCCCUAUGUGAUCCCCAGGAUUAAAGCUCUCUUCUCUGCCUGUCUUCAGCUGGAUAUCUUUAAGUACAGCCCUGCAAGCAGCAAAACCCAUGGCCAGAUUGUCUGCAGAUGAGUGGGAGGCAAGCCCCACAUCUUACAUUUGGUGCUUGUUAAUAUUUGGAUAAGACAAGCAGAAUGCUUCAUCCAGGGCGGUGCUUGUGUUUGCUGUAAGCCAAUACCUCUGCGGGGUUACCAUGAAAUUCAAGGCAGCUUGUGAAAAACACUGGUGGGAUAAGGCAUGACUGCAGGCCACUGGCAGCAAAGUCCUUUGAGCCAGGGUAAAGUCUGUGUUUGAAGCCAAAGGGAAUGCACUGGGAGAGCAGCCAGACCCAGACACGGUUCCUGGAGGAUGUGGGGAGAUGCCCUGAGCUCCCACUCUGGCAGUUGAUGCAUCUCUCUGUCUUCCUGGCUCUUUGCAGGAGAAGCUGCUUUCUGCAGGAGCUGGGCAGGUCAGAAAGGACCAGUAGCACCCUGCCAGUGGCUCUGCUCGCAUUCACACCAGCCAUUGGGGUCAGCCCAUUGCAUGUUGCCUUUAGCACAAUAAAACAUCCAGGAAACAAUAUCUCAGUUCAACGUGCCCUGAAUAUCUUUAACAAUCCCCACGGCUGCCUGCAUGCCCUGUGCUGCAUUUGGUUGCAAGCUGUGCUGUCAGGAGGCCUUUAACCUUGCUGGUGCCAAAAUGCACCAUGGUGUCCCUGCUGCCUGCCACUCCCAGCUCUGCAGCAGCGUGACUUGACAGAAGAUGGCAGGGGUUGGAAAAGGGUUGGGAUGCCAUUGCCAUAGGAACUGGUUAGUGUUCGGAAGAGUGAGAGUGAGAACAACUCCAAAAGUAAUGAGUUGUCCCUCUGAUGAUGUGGGGAUCAGGGGGAUUUAGUUAGGGGAAGCAUUAUGCUCCAAAUAAUGAGAGUCCAUAAGCCGCAUCUCCAUGUUUGCUUCCUCCAGAAGGGCUCUGCUGACAGUCCUGGAAAACCAUCUGACAGGGAGCACAGAUACAGCUCCUGCACAGCAGCUGAGCCGCAGCUCUGCACUCCCGGGAUGAAAGGCACAGCUCUGUGCAAUAUUCAUUCACUCAUCCUUCCUCUCUUCAUUCAUUCAUCCAUUCAUCUGCUUCAUUCACAUUUCCCUGGCACUUUAAUGAGCAGUGCUGAGCCCCUAUAGUCCUGCAGAGCCUGUCUCCAGUGCACAACCUCGUGGCUGCAGAUGGCCAUCCCGAAGCUCAGGCUCAGGCAUUUUGCAGGGCAGAUGCUGGUGUGGCCAGGGCAUGGUCUGUGGUGUGCCUAGCCAGUCACCUGGGCCCUUCAAUCCCACUACAAUCCUGGUGGCAGUGUUGUUCCUGUGGUUUCUCUUUGCUCUACUUUGCAAUUUGUUCAAUUCACAUCCUCCUCGUGGGAGCACAAGGAGGGGGAUUGCAUCAAAACUGCAAACAUGGAGGCUUUUCUUCUUUCUGCUGUGUCUCUAGGAAGGACAGAAAGGUGCUUUAGGAGCAUCUCCCCUCCUCAGCCACGUCAGAGCUGCCAGGUGUCUGAUUGGAGAGGCCAUUGCAGAGGUCUCAGAUGGACACCGAGGAGCAUGGUCCUAACCAGAACCUGGCUUUGCCCCACGUUCUCUCUCUGCCCAGAGGCAACAGGGACUGGAGGCAGCAAUUCCAGGCUCCGCAGAGCGGGAUUUUCACCACCUGUAUGCAGACAUGACUCUUGAAGAGAGGGGCUGGGUAGAAAUCCAGCAAAGAUUAAAAGGAGACAAUAAUUUCCCUGCCUAUGAUCUCACUCAUGGAAAACAAUGCUUCUGCUUUUUCUGCAUGCGCUGCUGAUCUGUCCUCGGCCUCCCUUCAGAAAGCUAAAUGCAAAGGAAGCAAACAGAAAGCAUCCGUUCUUUGUAUAAUGGAGAGAGCUUUUUCUUUUAUUCCCUGCCUUUUAUCACGGAUCUGCUGCCAUCACUGUUACUCAGCAGGUUAUUACCUCUGAGUGGAUACUUCCACCGGCCGGAGCUGCUUUGUGGUCUGCUCGGAGCAAUUAUGGAUCGGGUUCAUUCCUGCUGCCUGGUUUCAUUGCACAAGGAUUUGCUGUGCUCCACGGCCAAGGUGAGGUGAGACUCUGAUCUCUGGUUCAUGGAUCCUGAACUCCUGAAGCUGAUUUUGCCCCUUUGAUAAUAAGGCGAAUUACAUGAUUUGAUGGCAGAAGAAAGUGAUGUAAAGAAAAGAGAAAUACAGCUCCAGAGUGGGGUCACCACCUGAGACAGGGCACUUGACACCCCAGAAGAAACACAGGACAUCCUGGUUAAAACGGAGUCACUUGAGCUGCUGCAGCAUGGCUAUUUUCUCUGCAUGGCUUGCAUCUGAGAGCUGUCCUCCAAGGAGAGAAAGUGCUGUUGAACUCGCCAGAACAAAAAAAAAAGAAAGAAAAAAGAAAACCCUGCUGAGCUCCUGCUUGCUCUCCUGACCGAGCAUCCUCCCAGCCACCACUGUGUUACUGUCAUUCCCAGCAGCAUCACACUAACCACAGGAGCAGGGCUGGGGUUUGAGUCCAUGGUCACAUUCCCAACGAGAAAGGGCUGAAUCAGUGCCCCGUGUUGGGGAAGGGGGUCCUGUAUUGUAAUGUCCCCAUUCUGUAUCUGAGAGGGCAGCCAUGGUGCAUCUGCACCUGGAGGAGUGGGGAUUGUUGUAACAAGGCCUGAUCCAGUAACACCCCAAAUUUCAGAGCUUGUAAACAGCCACUGAAAUCUUGGUAGCCUAAUUUAGCUGAAAAGCAGACCUCACAAAAAAAUAAAUGGCCUCAUAAAUACCUGAACAGGGUGUCUCUGCUAUUGAAGCUGCAGAAAUUCCCUGUGCUUUCGGGAUGUGGAUCUACAUUUGCAAUUCGAGUCUCAGACCCUUAGCAAUAAGACCCAGGAGGAGUUGUAGGGUGGGUGCUGAGAUGUCACUCUGCCAUACAGGAUUGAUUUGCAUCUGCCGCCCUUCAAGGUAUGCACCCCAAGGAGUGGUGGUGAGAGCAUCUCAGUGGGGGUGGGCUGCUCAAACAAAUGAAGUGACAUUUGCAUUGCUUUUCAGCUAUUCUGGGACAUCUUUGCAGAAGUCACCUGUGAUAGCCAUGUGUUCUCUGGACAUCUUGGCUGUGACUUCUGCCAGCAUCGCUUUCCACUGGAGACAGUGUUGGUGGGUUUAUAGUUCAUAGGGAAAAGGGCGGGUGCAUGAAAACAGAAGCCUGGAGAAGAAAUUAUCUCAAAUGGCACUGGGCUGAACUGGAUUGGGAUUAACCUUCAUCGAGGAGUUUUCCCUCCUCUGAAUAUUUCAAAACCUACCAAGAAACACAUGCUCCCUCCACUGUCUUGAAGGUCUUGAGAUGUCAGACCUCACCCCUACCCAUUUGUUUCCAGAUUUAAGGAGGUGCUUUGUCUUGAAUAAUCCAUGGAUGUGUCCUUGUGGCUACGCCAGUAGGCAGGACUGAACUGGGCCUGGGUGUGCAGCCCAAAAGCAGAAAUUGCAUUGGAGGGGAAGAAAGACUCACGGUGCUGGCCGAGGAAGGGAGAAAGUGGAGUGGAUAUCCCUCUUCUCUAUUCAGCAGGCUUAGGACCUGCUUUGGCGCAUUUUACUGGCCCAAAAACAAAGCAAGCAUCAGCCAUACCACUGAAUUCCUCCCAGAUUCUCACAUUGCGGAGUGACCUGUGCAAAUGCCAGCAGCUGGGAGACUGAAAUAGCAGCUGCCAUUGCUUAGGCCCCACUGAUUUGUCCUGUGGUUUUUCCACGUCCUUUAAUCUCCAGUAAAUAAUCCCUCAUUUCUUUGUGGUCUUUCUAAUUCCAUGCUCUGUGCCGGCACUUCCUGUAAACAGCGGGUCUAGUGGCCCUUGAUUGAGACUCUUGCCAGCUGUGCAAAGGGCACGUGGCAGGGCUGUGCUUGGGGCUGGAUGUGGCAGUUCCAGAGGGCUGAAUGAUGGGAAUUAGGAGCCUGGUUCUCUUCUUCAUCCAGGCAGAAGUCAGGGCAAGCCAUGGUGCAGCCAGUGAGUAAUUCAGUUAUAAAGCAUGGACACGUGGAAACAGCAGGUGUCAUCAGCCUGCCUCAACACUUCAUACUAUCCAGUCUGAAGAAAUGAUGGGUGGGUCAGUGCUUGAAAGCACAACCGGAAUAAAUGAUGUGAAAUGAGUUCCCUGCGGCACAUGCUUCCACUGGCUCUGCAAGAGUCUGUGCAGAAGCCAUGAGCAGGCCUGUCUCAGCCCUUAGUUAUUACAUUUCCAGUCUAUGAUCUUGAAUGAAGUCCUAAAAUGAAGGUCUGUGCUUUCUGAAGACCUACCUUGGUGCUCAAGGCCUUGAUCUUUCACUGCUUUGUAGAUACAAAGCUUCCAAAUCCUCCCAUGUGCUCCAGGAGAACAUAUUUUCCAACCAGAAUCUCUCCAGUUCUAUUUUGACUUCAGGCUGUUGAAAGAUUUGAAGCAUCAGAUAUCCAUCCUCAACCCUGGCAGAGUUUAUUUUCUUCAGGUGAGCUCAGGUCGAAGUGAUAGUGGAUCGAAUGGGAUUUCAGCUUCACCUCCUGUCUGAAAGCUCACCUGCAUGUUGACUGGUUGCUUACAUAGAUCCUCAAAUAUGAGACAGAUCAGAGUUUGCUCCAUGAAAUGUCCGUGCCCACGUAGUGCCAGUGUGGCAAAAUGCCAGCGGGAGCGUCGUCAGAGCACUCUGUGAAGGUCAGAUGGAGGAGCUGAGGUUUCCCCUCACCUUGCAGAGCUGAUGCUGUAUUCUUGCAGUGCUGAGUUGUUGGCUGAAACGUAGCCCUUCACAGAGUUGGACUGAAACAAAGCGACUUCAAGCGAUGAGAUGGCUGCCUGAGACCUGUUGAAAGCAUCACAAGUGUAGAUGAAAUUGUUCAGUAUGUAUUUAUUGGCUCUCAGUUGCCUCUGCAUUUUUUUUUUCUAACAACAGAGAUGCAAACAAGCCUUAAGAGAGGCAGACAAGAUUUACUCAGGCAGCAAUAGGAACCCUUGAGCCCUGAUGCCAAUAAUCCUCAUCUGGAGUCAGUCCCGUUGGCUCCAGCCACUGCUGAGCUUGCUGGUGGAGAAAACCACUGCAUUGGAUCAAACCAAUGUUAAAGGAGACUUCACAGAAGUUAAUAGCUAGUGGUCAAGAGGAGUUGCCAGACUCUUGCUUUCUCAGUAACUAAUAAAAGUGCUUUUUAACACAAUUAAUGUGAUGUCUUGCUGAAGACUGAAGGAAAUUGGA